CCCACCACCACUUCAUUCAUGCGUCUUUCCGUAAAUAGCUUAUGUUGCUUCGUUUGUUCACCGGUGGAAGUUUUGGCUGUGCCGAACAUUGGAAGUUAAUUUUUGCGUAGUUGUUGAUGGUUUCGUUGUAAGUCCUCGUGGACUUCAAGACACAACACCAUGUCUCGUUAUAGAGAUUCAGGAAAUGCAGACUGCAAGAUAUAUGUUGGAGAUCUGGGAUCUUCAGCUUCCAAGCAAGAUUUAGAGGAUUCCUUUUCAUACUAUGGACCGAUCAGGAAUGUUUGGGUGGCCAGGAAUCCACCAGGCUUUGCCUUUGUGGAGUUUGAGGAUCCUAGAGAUGCCGAAGAUGCUGUGAGAGGCUUAGAUGGGCGCACUGUUUGUGGUCGCCGAGUGAGGGUAGAAAUGUCGAAUGGUGCUCGUAGCAAGGGUGGCUUCCGAGGCCCUCCUCCUCGUCGAAGUCGUCCGUUUCACCCUGAGGACAGGUGUUAUGAGUGUGGCGAACGUGGCCACUAUGCUAGAGACUGUACUCGCUAUAGUAGCAGCCGACGUGGAGGGCGUCGCAGGUCAUACAGCCGGAGCAGGAGCCGUUCCCGUUCAAGGGACCGUCGCUCACGCAGCCGCAGCGCUUCACGCUCCAGGUCACGCAAUCGCAGCAAGUCCCGCAGCCCCAAGGACCGCAGCAAGAGCCGAUCCAAGUCCCGAUCCCGUUCCCGCAGCAGGUAAAGAAGCUUCUCGUAACCCAGGGCAAACUAAUACACCAUUCGCUGUUUCCAUCGUGCACCAGUCAGAGAGUGUUUGGCUGUUAGGAUCACACCUGCUGAAUGUAACUGAAGAUAUAUGUUCUAGUGAUAUUCCCUCAGAUGCUGUACGUAGUUUGCCCCUCAACAGUCCUAGGUUUAAACUAUGUUUAAUGUUGUCAUUUAUAAGGACAUUUUUAUUGAUCGUA
rnacentral:misc_RNA from 1 species